CCCCAAAUGAAUGGAGCGGUGGAAACCGCUAACAAAAAUCUCAAGAGAAUCAUCCGGAAAAUGACAGUCACCUAUAGAGAUUAGCAUGAUAUGCUUCGCUACGCCCUUCAUGCGUACCGGACCUCUUUAAGAACAUCAACUGGUGCAACUCCAUAUUCGCUGGUUUACGGAAUGGAAGCUGUUUUGCCUAUCGAAGUAGAAAUUCCUUCUCUGAGGAUUCUAAAAGAAUCAGGAAUUGAUGAGUCAGAAUGG
rnacentral:misc_RNA from 1 species